GACAGAGGUGCCAAGCGUUAGGCGGAAUCACUGGGCUUAAAGCGUGUGUAGGCGGAUCGUUAAGUACCUUGUGAAAUCCCACGGCUCAACCGUGGAACUGCUGGGUAUACUGGCGAUCUUGAGCCACCUAGGGGCGAGCGGAACAAGCGGUGGAGCGGUGAAAUGCGUAGAUAUCUGGAGGAAUACCGGUGGCGAAGGCGGCAUCCUGGACCGACAUUGACGCUGAUGAGCGAAAGCUAGGGGAGCAAACGGG
rnacentral:rRNA from 1 species